rnacentral:lncRNA from 1 species
CGACACCUCACCAUCGAUAACCAUCAUGAUUCACCACUAAAGAGAGCAUCUAAUUCAACCCACAUUGGAAUCUUCCUUUGAGUCAUUUUCCUUAAAAGGGUUACAGCACUUCCAGCUCCAUUGAGCACUGGCAUAUCUUCUUUUAUUUAUUUUUUAGGUACAAUUUACGUACGGUAAAGUGCAUAAAUCUUAAGUGUUUUGCUUGAAGAAUUUUUACUUACAUGUAUACUCAUCACCACCUACCAGACGAAGAUACAGAACAUUUCCAACACUUCAGAAGCUUCUCUUAUGCCCAUUUCCAGUCUACACUGCUCCAAAGAUAAUGCUGGAGAGCCCACUAAGAAACCUGGCAAUUGGUGUUAGCUUCAGCCUCAGAUCUCAUGGAAAACCCAUCCCACAUAGUACAUGGAAAGCACCAUCAUUACCUCUUAAGAAAUAAGCUGGUUCCAUAGGUUAUUGUGAAGAUCAAAAGAAAUCAUAAAUGUGGAAGCACUUCAAAAAAUGCAGCACAUAAUAAGGUAAGGAGAACACUUUGGUUUUUAUGUGUUGUUCUAUUUCUUAAGUCCUGGCGAAGAGGAUAUCAGAUGGUAACCAAAGGAAUUACCUCCUUCAUUCCUUGAGCUCCUACUACAUGCCAGGCACUGUGCUGGGCAUCGUGGAACCAAAAAUGACUACGGUAAAGUCCCUGCUCUUCACUAGCUCUGAUGUGGUGGGGAAGAGCGGUCAGAGAUUGGGACCAGACAAAUAAACUAAUCAAUAGGCUACUGGGUGUUGAUUACAGGUAGAGAGUACCAAACAGGAUUAUUUCAUCAGCCUGUGGUGUCUUG